rnacentral:lncRNA from 1 species
AAUUUAUUUCCUCUUUUCCAGCAUCACAUUUUGAAAAAUGCCCCUCAUAUUGCAGAUGUACAGCUGAAUUAUUACACCCAAUGCAAGGAUGGAGGAAUUAGAAACAAUUUCUCUCCCUUUCUCCCCAGUAUCAGGGACUGGUGGCCACAUGGCAAGAGCCCUGCUGAUUUUUCCUCCGAAGCGAACUAAAGCAGUACGCAGUUUUGGCCACAGGAGGGCAGCAGCUCCCGUUGCUCUGAGCCACCCCUUUGCUUCCCCUCCCGCAUCUCCGGCACCUGCAGUACCGAGCUUUGGACACAGGAUGGCAGCAGCGAGCAGUGCCCCGAGCUACGCCGUGCCCCCCCCACCUCCAGCUCCUGCAGUACCGACGCUUAGACACGAGGUGGCAGCACACGCUGCAGAAGCUACGGCCUGAGGGCAACGGCCGUUCCCCUCCCCGUUGACAGCCUCCGGGGACCCCAGCUGCUGAGUGGGGACAGUUUGCAAUAUUGGGGCUGGGGCAAAGUUGCUCAGGGAACUUUUAUUCGAGAUUCUUUCAGGCUUUUAUUGCUUUGGGGGGAUUUAUAAUCACAUUCUUCUCUUUUGCUUUUUAUUUUCUUUACGCGUUUUAUUUAUUUCCUUUUUCAUUCAUGUUUUUCCAGCUGUCCUUGUCUUUUAUUCUCUUUCAGUAACUUUUUUUAGGCGUCCCAUACCUAAAAUGAGAUAAGAAAUGGGCAAACAUGGGUUAGAAAAUUAAAAAAAUGGUUCAAAACGCCUUACAAAUGGUCCAAAGUGGAACACAAGUGGCCCAAAAUGGAUUAAAACAAGCAAGAAAUGGGUAAAAAUGGGUUAGAAGUGGGCAAAAAUGGCUUACAAUGCGGGAGAUGUGGAUAAAUAUGGGACAGAAACAGCCACAGACUGGUCAGAAAUAGCCCCAAAAAAAGCUUUAAAGGGGUUAGAAAUGGGAAAGAUGGGUUAGAAAUUGCCAAAAACGGCUUAAAACUGGUAAGAAAUGGGCAAAACUGGGAUAGAAAUGGCCAUGAAUUGUUCAGAAAUAGACUAAAAUGGCUUAAAAUAGGGUAGAAAUGGGGAAAAAUGGCUUAAACCAGGUUCAGAAAUGGGCAAAAAUGUGUUUGAAGUGGCAAAAAAAUUGGUUAGAAGAAAAAAUAGUUUAGAAAUGGACAAAAUGGCUUAAACCAGGUUAGAAUUGGACAUAUACGAGUUGCAAAUGGCUAAAAAUGGGUUUAAAUCUAGUUAGAAGUGGCCAAAAUUGUGUUAGAAAUGGUCAAAAAUGGCUUAAAGCUGCUGACAAAUGGGAAAAAAUGGGUUAGAAAAAUAAAAAAGUCGCUUAAACAGAGUGAGAAAAGGGCCAAAAAAAAGAUGGAAAUUUAAAAGAAUGGCUUUAAAAGGGUUAGGAGUGACCAAACAUGGGUUAGAAAUGGCAGAAAGAAUUUAGAAAUUGCAAAUAAAACAGUUUAGAAGUGGGCAUAAAUGAGUUAGAAACAGCCAUGUUACGGCAUCUUCUUGGAAUCAGUGGGUAAGUACACACCUCUGUCCCUGCAAGUGCUGCCCGGGGCUGCCAGGAAAGCCGAUCUGUGCAAUAGGCUGUGUGUGUUCUGGUCUGUGAGCCCCCCAUCAGCUACAGUACAGGUGAAGUCUUGUCACUGGAAAAUGUUGAGCAGAUAAUACCCUUUAGUGAGCUAGAAAGCGGCACUAACGCUGCCCGCCUGGCAGGCUAGGAAAGGCAGAUACAUUUGGGGUUAUGCACACAAAAGCUCUACGUCCUGCCGUGGUUCCAGUGUCAUUGCUCUUAGAGGUAAAUGGAAAAGCAGCCUCAGGCCUCCUGCUGGGCUCAGGGAUCCAUCAGCUGCACCAGAGCAGCUUUGCCUGCAGGAUGUGAUACUUGCUAUGCUGGUAAGUGACCAGUUCAAAUAGGUUGAAAUCAAAGUGCAUUUGCCCAGAGCUGGGUGUUACUCGCAUUGGUACUGGUACUUGUGGUAGCAAACAUCUAAUGUGACCCACCUGCUGAACAGAGCUCAGUACUGCAAAUAAUAAGCCAGUUUCCCCUCCCUGGCUGCAUUAAAACAGGCUCCUCCAGAUGAAUUUAACCUCAUGUCAGCGAAGCACUUUAGCUCAAGGUGCCAAAGACGAGCUUCAGCAAGGGCACAAUGCCACCAGACACACCAAAGUGCGUGAGGACGAGAAGCCCUUCCCUAAGAAAGAAGGGUAACUGUGGCCUUGGGCUUCUAAAGAGACCCUCAGCAGCUGUAGGGAAACGCCUGCAUUCCCUGGGGUUCUAAUCAUAGGAGCACAGAAAGGUUUUGGUCGGAAGGAACCUUUAAAGGUCAUCUGGUCCAACCUCCCCUGCCAUGAGCAGGGACAUCUUCAACUCCAUCAGGGUGCUCAGAACCACAUCCAGCCUGGCCUUGAAUGUCCCCAGGGAUGGGGCAUCCACCACCUCUCUGGCCAACCCCUGCCAGUGCUUUACCACCCUCAUUACAGAAAAAUACUGGGGCUGACCUGCAGUUCCUGGUUCUCCCUCCCUCCCUCCAGGCCUUGCCUUCUCCUCAGCAGUGCAGCUCCUAAUUCAACAAAGACAACACCAAGAGCUGCAAACUCUGCUGGCAGUACCCAAAUGUCAAGAGGAAACCAGGGACUUGCAUUGUCACAACAUCCAACAGGAUGAUUAGAAAAACACUGGUAAUUCCCCAUAGCCAUAGAGCUGCUGCAAAACAGCCUGCAAGCAAAGCAAUUGCUGUUUAAGCAAAAAGCAGCGCAAUGGUCUCCGAGCAGGAAAGCAAACCAAGCUGAGAUUUCCUGGGACAAUGUUUUCAAUUACGUGAAUGUAAUUGACUGGAAGGGAAAAAACUUCUUGAAUUAAGCACGUAAACAAGGUGAACAAAAUAAUUUCUUCCUUGUUCAAGCAGAGGAUGUGGUUUUGCUCUCAUUUACUGGUCCCAGGUAGGAGAAUCUAGAUCUUUCCGGCUGUUAAAGUGUCACUCUGCAUUUAUGCCAAUGUAAGAGGAAACAAAGUCCUGCAUCCACAUCUUGAGCCCCAGCUCAAGAGGGACGUGGAGCUGCUCAAGCGAGCCAGAGGAAACCAUGGAGCUGCUGCGAGGGCUGGAGCAGCUCUGCUCUGGAGCCAGGCUGAGAGAGCUGGGCUGGGGCAGCCUGGACAAGAGAAGGCUCCUGAAGGGGAGACCUGAGAGCAGCUCCAGUGCCUAAAGGGGCUGCAGGAAACCUGGAGAGGGGCUUGGGACAAGGGCCUGUAGGGACAGGCCAAGAGGGAAAGGCUUGAACCUGCCCAAGAGAGGGGAGACUGAGCUGAGCUCUGAGGCAGAAGCUGUUCCCGGUGAGGGUGCUGAGGCGCUGGCACAGGGUGCACAGAGAAGCUGUGGCUGCCCCAUCCCUGGCAGUGUUCAAGGCCAGGCUGGACACAGGGGCUUGGAGCAACCUGCUCUAGUGUGAGGUGUCCCUGCCUGCCUGUGGCAGGGGUUGGAGCUGGAUGAGCUUUAAGGUCCCUUCCAACAUGAACCAUUCCAUGAUUCUGUAAAAUGUAGAAAUGGGGAGGAUAACUACAGGCAAAUUACAGACCAAUCGAUGAAAGCAGAGAGUAAAUGGAUUUCCUCUCUCGGCAAGGUCAGAGGAGCAUGCGCUACGAUUACCAGACAUACCUCCGCUUUCCUCUCCUGCUUCCCAGUCGCAGAAACCUCUCUUUCCUUUUUGGUCUUUCCUGCUAAAACGGCGCAACUCUCUCCAAAGGUUCUGCUAUUAACU